rnacentral:misc_RNA from 1 species
GAUGAAGAACGUAGCGAAAUGCGAUAAGUAAUGUGAAUUGCAGAAUCCAGUGAAUCAUCGAAUCUUUGAACGCACAUUGCGCCCGCCAGCAUUCUGGCGGGCAUGCCUGUUCGAGCGUCAUUUCAACCCUCGACCUCCCCUUGGGGAGGGCGGCGUUGGGGACCGGCAGCACACCGCCGGCCCUGAAAUGGAGUGGCGGCCCGUCUGCGGCGACCUCUGCGUAGUAAUACAGCUCGCACCGGAACCCCGACGCGGCCACGCCGUAAAACACCCAACUUCUGAACGUUGACCUCGAAUCAGGUAGGACUACCCGCUGAACUUAAGCAUAUCAAUAAGCGGAGGA